rnacentral:rRNA from 1 species
GAUGAACGCUGGCGGCGUGCCUAAUACAUGCAAGUCGAGCGAACAGACGAGGAGCUUGCUCCUCUGACGUUAGCGGCGGACGGGUGAGUAACACGUGGAUAACCUACCUAUAUGACUGGGAUAACUUCGGGAAACCGGAGCUAAUACCGGAUAAUAUAUUGAACCGCAUGGUUCAAUAGUGAAAGACUGUUUUGCUGUCACUUAUAGAUGGAUCCGCGCCGCAUUAGCUAGUUGGUAAGGUAACGGCUUACCAAGGCAACGAUGCGUAGCCGACAUGAGAGGGUGAUCGGCCACACUGGAACUGAGACACGGUCCAGACUCCUACGGGAGGCAGCAGUAGGGAAUCUUCCGCAAUGGGCGAAAGCCUGACGGAGCAACGCCGCGUCAGUGAUGAAGGUCUUCGGAUCGUAAAACUCUGUUAUUAAGGAAGAACAAAUGUGUAAGUAACUAUGCACGUCUUGACGGUACCUAAUCAGAAAGCCACGGCUAACUACGUG